AGCGUGGAGACAGGUGGUGCAUGGCUGUCGUCAGCUCGUGUCGUGAGAUGUUGGGUUAAGUCCCGCAACGAGCGCAACCCUCACCCCUUGUUGCUACCAGGUAAAGCUGGGCACUCUAGGGGAACUGCCCCGGUCAACGGGGAGGAAGGCGGGGAUGACGUCAAGUCUUCAUGCCCCUUACGCCCUGGGCUACACACGUGCUACAAUGGCCGGUACAAAGGGAUGCCACACCGCGAGGUAGAGCUAAACCCAAAAAGCCGGUCUAAGUUCAGAUUGGAGUCUGCAACUCGACUCCAUGAAGGAGGAAUCGCUAGUAAUCGCGUAUCAGCACGACGCGGUGAAUACGUUCCCGGGCCUUGUACACACCGCCCGUCACACCACGAAAGCCAGCUGUACUCGAAGUCGCUGAG
rnacentral:rRNA from 1 species